GGGGGCGACCGGUUUCGACGGGUUAGUUGAACGUAUGGCAGCGCGUCCAGGUCCAGGUUCCUGGUAAAACCGCUUGGAAACACACAAUUGCCAACUCUGAAUUGGCGCUGGCUGCGUAAGCUGAGCUUAGCUCGCUGACGCACCACCGGUAUCCGAAGCCCGCCUGGGGCGUCGCUGCCGGCUCGAAAAUCCAGGCUGGUCUGCCGUAGUCCCCCGAUACGGCUGGCGAGAACUCAGGGGGUCGGUUUCGGGAAGCCUGGUCGGUCGGCGGCUCGAGGCCUAAAGCACGAAGAUCGACCUACACGCGUAGACGCUGUGCAGGACGCUGAUUCGGACCAGGGUUCGAUUCCCUGCGCCUCCAUCA
rnacentral:tmRNA from 1 species